rnacentral:rRNA from 1 species
CCUUGGGGAGNUUCUUAANUGCGAAAGGGUGAGUAACACGUGGGCAAUCUGCCCUUCACUCUGGGACAAGCCCUGGAAACGGGGUCUAAUACCGGAUACGACCUCCGACCGCAUGGUCUGGUGGUGGAAAGCUCCGGCGGUGAAGGAUGAGCCCGCGGCCUAUCAGCUUGUUGGUGGGGUGAUGGCCUACCAAGGCGACGACGGGUAGCCGGCCUGAGAGGGCGACCGGCCACACUGGGACUGAGACACGGCCCAGACUCCUACGGGAGGCAGCAGUGGGGAAUAUUGCACAAUGGGCGAAAGCCUGAUGCACCGACGCCGCGUGAGGGAUGACGGCCUUCGGGUUGUAAACCUCUUUCAGCAGGAAAGAAGCGAGAGUGACGGUACCUGCAGAACAAGCGCCGGCUAACUACGUGCCAGCAGCCGCGGUAAUACGUAGGGCGCAAGCGUUGUCCGGAAUUAUUGCGCGUAAAGAUCUCGUAGGCGGCUUGUCACGUCGGAUGUGAAAGCCCGGGGCUUAACCCCGGGUCUGCAUUCGAUACGGGCNGGCUAGANUNCGGUAGGGGAUAUCGGAAUUCCUGGUGUAGCGGUGAAAUGCGCAGAUAUCANGANGAANCCGGUGGCGAANGCGAAUCUCUGGGNCGAUACUGACCCUGAGNUACNAAAGCGGGGGGAGNAAANA